rnacentral:rRNA from 1 species
GAUGAACGCUAGCUACAGGCUUAACACAUGCAAGUCGAGGGGAAACGACAUCGAAAGCUUGCUUUUGAUGGGCGUCGACCGGCGCACGGGUGAGUAACGCGUAUCCAACCUGCCCAUCACUUGGGGAUAACCUUGCGAAAGUAAGACCAAUACCCAAUGAUAUCUCUAGAAGACAUCUGAAAGAGAUUAAAGAUUUAUCGGUGAUGGAUGGGGAUGCGUCUGAUUAGCUUGUUGGCGGGGUAACGGCCCACCAAGGCGACGAUCAGUAGGGGUUAUGAGAGGAAGGUCCCCCACAUUGGAACUGAGACACGGUCCAAACUCCUACGGGAGGCAGCAGUGAGGAAUAUUGGUCAAUGGGCGAGAGCCUGAACCAGCCAAGUAGCGUGCAGGAAGACGGCCCUAUGGGUUGUAAACUGCUUUUAUAAGGGAAUAAAGUGAGUCUCGUGAGACUUUUUGCAUGUACCUUAUGAAUAAGGACCGGCUAAUUCCGUGACAGCAGCCGCCGUAA